GAUUAGCGGCGAACGGGUGAGGAACACGUGAAGAAUCUGCCCUCCACUUUGGGAUAACACCGGGAAACCGGUGCUAAUACCGAAUAUUGAAACAUAAGUGGCAUCACUGAGUUUUGAAAGAAUUUCGGUGGAGGAUGACUUCGCGGCCUAUCAGCUAGUUGGUGAGGUAAUGGCUCACCAAGGCAACGACGGGUAGCCGGCCUGAGAGGGCGACCGGCCACACUGGGACUGAGACACGGCCCAG
rnacentral:rRNA from 1 species